rnacentral:lncRNA from 1 species
GAGGUCUUUUUCAUAAAAAAUAACAAGGCUCUGUGCAAAUUCCUAUCUCCUUGGGAGCUUUUCUAUCUUUUUUUCCUCUUCUAUCUUCCUGUAUUCUCUUCCUCUCUUGUACUUUUGAUCUUUAAUAAAAUUCAGCUGGGGUUAUACCCCUAGUUCUUAGUAAACAAAAAGACAAAAGAAAGUUCCAAUCAUCAGACGGCCAUGAGCUAUCUUUCUCUUACCCAUUAGAAUUGCUUGUCUUCUGGUGCCACAAAGCUUCCGACAUAUUUUAAGACACCACUCUGUUUAUAUCUGUUCAUCCCACCAAUCAAAUGCUAGUGAAAUUGGAG